rnacentral:ribozyme from 1 species
UUUUUUUUUUUUUUUUUUUUUCUUUUUUUUUUUUUUUUCAUGGGGUAGUCAUGUUUUACUUAAAUACGUAGACAAUUGUGCGCCUCAUUUUCAUCCCACAAAAGACAAAGCAA